rnacentral:lncRNA from 1 species
CUGGGUGUGGUUUUGAAACUUCUGUGAAUGAUGUGUAUGCCUUCGACUCAGUCCUUAACUUAAAGAGGGGAGGAGGAGCGUAUUAGUUGGAGCACAGUUUGAGCUUGGGGUUGCAUUGGAGCUAAGGAGCAACUUGUAUGAUCUGCUGUAUUCUCUGUUUAAGCUAUGGCUUUAGGAUCAUCACACUAAGGGCAUAUAAAGACAAUUGGGCUUUAAAUCAAUCCCAAGUGAAAGCUGGCAGUACUUUUGUUAAUGAUCUCAGAGUUUUAGAAGACUUCCAACAUGCACACCAUCCCAAGGACCCACUACAGUUUGCAUAUCGCCCCAAAAGAUCCACGGACGACGCAAUCGCCAUUGCACGGCCCACUGCUCUAUCCCACCUAGACAAGAGAAAUACCUAUGUCCUGGACUUCCUGACGGGCUGACCCUAAGUGGUGAAGGUAGGCAACGACACCUCCGCCACGCUGAUCCUCAACACAGGGGCCCCUGUACUUCCUGUUCACCCAUGACUAUGUGGCCACGCACGACCCCAACUCAAUCAUCUAGUUUGCUGUUGACACAACAGUUGUCACGUCCUGACCAUG